CCCCUUGUCUACUUUCAGCUGCAGCUUCUCCUCCCCAUCACUUCUCCACUUCUCUCACCACAUCCUCCCAGCAAGCAGGAGACUCCCUCACUUUCUGCAUGGGCUGCACAUGGACGUGGUGGAAACACUGCUUUAAAGUUCAUCAUCCUGAAGGAAAAGUGAACUCAUGCUGUCACUGGUGAUGCUGUGAGAAGGAAAGGAGGAAGACUGAACACCCCCAGCUCCCUCAGCCUGUACUCACAGGAGCGGUGCUCCAGCCCUCAGAUCACCUUCAAGGCCCCCAUCUGGACCCGCUCCAACAGCUCUGCAUCCUUCCUGUGCUGGGGCCCCCAGGCCUGGAUGCAGCACUGCAGGCAAGACAUGAAUGCCUCCAUCAGACACUGUGUCUCUCUGGCUUCCUUGUUAAUGCAUCGCUGAGCUGCAAACGUUGGAUGGCUCAGUGCUAAGUGUGGCAGGGUUAGCUGCAACAGAAACAGCAUUGCACCAGGUCUUACUGGAAGCUUUAGCCUGGUCCAGUGUACUGGACAGCCAUGGGCACCUGGGUACCCCAGUGGCAGGUUUUGAAUUGUACAGAGGUGCUGAGCACUACCAGACAAUUUGGCUGUGUUGCAUCUCAUUUUUGUCACCCCUGCAGAGGCACGUAGCUUUUGUACUAAACUUCAAAUUCUGCAAGAAUAUCUUUAUAUCUUUGCCUUUAGCUAAAUUGCCAUUUACGGUUUGCCCUUCAGGGGAGCUCAUAACAACUUUUUUUUUUAAUUUAUGAAACUUUCUAAAUCUGUUUAGGAG
ensembl:lncRNA